UACGUAGGGUGCGAGCGUUGUCCGGAAUUAUUGGGCGUAAAGAGCUCGUAGGCGGUUUGUUGCGUCUAUCGUGAAAACCUGCAGCUUAACUGUGGGCUUGCGGUGGAUACGGGCAGACUUGAGUUCGGUAGGGGAGACUGGAAUUCCUGGUGUAGCGGUGAAAUGCGCAGAUAUCAGGAGGAACACCGGUGGCGAAGGCGGCGACCUGGGUCGACACUGACGCUGAGGCGCGAAAGCGUGGGGAGCAAACAGG
rnacentral:rRNA from 1 species